rnacentral:rRNA from 1 species
UCUUCCUACGGGGGGCAGCAGUCGGGAAUAUUGCGCAAUGGAGGAAACUCUGACGCAGUGACGCCGCGUGCAGGAAGAAGGUUUUAGGAUUGUAAACUGCUUUAGACAGGGAAGAAAAAAGACAGUACCUGUAGAAUAAGCUCCGGCUAACUACGUGCCAGCAGCCGCGGUAAUACGUGGGGAGCGAGCGUUAUCCGGAUUUAUUGGGUGUAAAGAGUGCGUAGACGGGAUGGCAAGUUAGCUGUGAAAUCCCUCGGCUUAACCGAGGAACUGCAGCUAAAACUACUAUUCUUGAGUGCUGGAGG